GAUGAACGCUGGCGGCGUGCCUAAUACAUGCAAGUCGAGCGAACGGACGAGAAGCUUGCUUCUCUGAUGUUAGCGGCGGACGGGUGAGUAACACGUGGAUAACCUACCUAUAAGACUGGGAUAACUUCGGGAAACCGGAGCUAAUACCGGAUAAUAUUUUGAACCGCAUGGUUCAAAAGUGAAAGACGGUCUUGCUGUCACUUAUAGAUGGAUCCGCGCUGCAUUAGCUAGUUGGUAAGGUAACGGCUUACCAAGGCAACGAUGCAUAGCCGACCUGAGAGGGGGAUCGGCCACACUGGAGCUGAGACACGGUCCAGACUCCUACGGGAGGCAGCAGUAGGGAAUCUUACGCAAUGGGCGAAAGCCUGACGGAGCGACGCCGCGUGAGUGAUGAAGGUCUUCGGAUCGUAAAACUCUGUUAUUAGGGAAGAACAUAUGUGUAAGUAACUGUGCACAUCUUGACGGUACCUAAUCAGAAAGCCACGGCUAACUACGUG
rnacentral:rRNA from 1 species